rnacentral:lncRNA from 1 species
GGAUGCCCUCAGAGGCUUGAUGAUGUUAUGAACGCAUAUACCUAUGCAUGGUAUGACAUUUAUACGCAUAUGCAUGGCAUUGUAAAUAUCAAUGAUUCGCAGAGUUAUUUAGAUUUACAUGUUGAGUCUUUUACUCCAUGUUUCUAUCAUGUCUAUUAUUUACUGAAUUUUAUUCCUUACAUACUCGGUAUAUUAUUUGUACUGACGUCCCUUUUGCCUGUGGACGCUGCAUUUCAUGCCCGCAGGUCCCGAUAGACAGGUUGUGAGCCCUCCAAGUAAGCUAUCAGCUCAGCGAAAGGUGUUGGUGUGAUCCAUUUGCUCCGGAGUUGCUUGUUUGAUCAGUAUGAUCUAGACGUGUAUUGUUUAGUAUGGCGGGGCUAUGUCCCGACCUUUAUGACAAAUAUAAAUUCUUAGAGACUUGUAGACAGAUGUCAUGUACGUAAAAGAUUGUAUGGCCUUGUUGGCCUAUGUUCAGUAUAUGAGUGGUUAUUUUGGUCUUGUAGGCCCGUAUGUCUUAUGUAUAAGUUGGUAUUUCAUGUUGUAUUCUACUUAUCUCAAGGCAGCCUCUCCGGCUUAGUUAUCUAUGAUAGUAUGAUACGAAAAGAUACUUUAUGUUGGUACUCGGUUGAGUAAGGUACCGGGUAGCCGUCGCGGCCUAUCGGUUUGGGUCGUGACAUCAG